rnacentral:rRNA from 1 species
UACGGAGGGUGCAAGCGUUGUCCGGAUUUAUUGGGUUUAAAGGGUGCGUAGGCGGCCUUGUAAGUCAGUGGUGAAAUACUGCAGCUUAACUGUAGCAUUGCCAUUGAUACUGUGAGGCUUGAGUACAGAUGAGGUAGGCGGAAUUGAUGGUGUAGCGGUGAAAUGCAUAGAUACCAUCAAGAACACCGAUUGCGAAGGCAGCUUACUAAGCUGUAACUGACGCUGAGGCACGAAAGCGUGGGGAUCGAACAGG